AUCAGAUUGGAAUUUAUUGUACAUUUUCCUUUAAAAUAACCAAGGGAGGUCUCUUAGGUCAGUUGGCCAUAGCCUGUUUAGAUCACAAUACUAUAGAGCACAGUAAUAAAGAAACUCUAUAUAAUUUUUUAGUAGUUUCAAGAGUAAGAAACCUCAUUUGUCUUCUAUUCCGCAGCUCUCCAAACCAUCUCUCCUUGCCCUGGCUCCAAAAGUGGGGCUGGUCCUCGUUCAUGGAAAAGAAGCAGGCAGUGAAAGGUUGGGUGGAUUGGAUCCAUCUGGGAACGUGAAACUUGUUAAACCUCAACAUUUGUAUGACAGAAGGACUUUCAUUUACAGAACCAAAUGUGCAAGAAUGGAUCCUUGGAAUCACUCUGGCGGCCAAAUCAUCUCCUCAGUCCCAGCCACACUUGCACCUUGCCAGUGAUGGGGACAAAAUGGUGGACCCCCAAGAGAGACUGAGAAGGGGAAAAAUGAAGGGAAAAAAAUUUCAGUCAGUUCAGCAAGUAAAUCUGAAAUAUUGCUCCAAAUUGGAAACCCACUCGUCUCUACUGGGUUUGUACUUCUGAACUGAAAUUGAACUCCACUGCUCCUGUUCACAUGACCUCAGAACAAUGGAGGUUUUUGUUUUGAGGAAGAAUGAGUCCCACCUACUCUUGGCUAUCAAGUAUCACUUCUAAACUCCAGCCCCUAAGUGUUGUGUAA
rnacentral:lncRNA from 1 species